rnacentral:rRNA from 1 species
AUUGAACGCUGGCGGCAGGCCUAACACAUGCAAGUCGAACGGGUGGCGGACGGGUGAAUAAUGUCUGGACACCUGCCUGAUGGAGGGGGAUAACUACUGGAACCGGUAGCUAAUACCGCAUACCAUCGGAUGUGCCCAGAUGGGAUUAGCUAGUCGGUGGGGUAAAGGCUCACCUAGGCGACGAUCCCUAGCUGGUCUGAGAGGAUGACCGGCCACACGGGAACUGAGACACGGGCCAGACUCCUACGGGAGGCAGCAGUGGGGAAUAUUGCACAAUGGGCGAAAGCCUGAUGCAGCCAUGCCGCGUGUAUGAAGAAGGUCUUCGGGUUGUAAAGUACUUUCAGUGGGGAGGCGUUACCCGCAGAAGAAGCACCGGCUAACUCCGUGCCAGCAGCCGCGGUAAUUC